AAGGUGUUUCGUUCGCUGUUGUUGUUGCGCUAGCAUGCUUCUUGCUCUCCACUCUGGCAGAGUUUCGCUUCGUUCCAAUCAGCAACGGCUUCGAUACGCGCAGUAGUCUCCCGUCAAUUAGAGUGUAAAAACGUAAACGCUCCACAGAAACGGCUAUCGGAACGGCGCCGCCACAGAGACAAUCUUUCGCAGGAUACAACCAAAAUAUAACAUAUACACACACACACGCGCUACAACAACAGCUAGUUGGAUGGAAAAAAAGAAAGUUAAAACAAAAUAAUUAUAUGAAAUUUGCAUAAAUAAAUAAUGAGGUGUCAAGUGUGAAGAAAAAACGUCGGCUGUACAAGAGUCGAAUGUGCAAUGUGAAAGACAUCAUAAGAGAUUGUGCGUGUGUGUGACCGUGUGCGUGUGUGAGUGCGUGUGCUUUGAUGUAAAUACCACGAAAAUCGCUGAACGCCGAAAAUAAAGCAGCAGAAAUCAACGAAGACGAAGACGACGUCGCCGUCAACGAGGCGGACGUUCGCCAAAAAGCAGAGCCAAUACAAGGAGCCGUCGCAGUCGCAGAGGCAACGUCGAGACGCAUGUACGCUCAAUGCUCAGCGCUGGCUGCUGGCCGAAGUCGUCUAAAACGGCCAACGAUCGUGUGAACUGUGCGUAUACUUAACCAGCGUAGUUUCUGGAGCAGCAGCAGCAGCAGCAGCAGUGGCAACAUACCAGCCACACAACAA